rnacentral:rRNA from 1 species
UACGGAGGGAGCUAGCGUUAUUCGGAAUUACUGGGCGUAAAGCGCACGUAGGCGGCUUUGUAAGUUAGAGGUGAAAGCCUGGAGCUCAACUCCAGAAUAGCCUUUAAGACUGCAUCGCUUGAAUCCAGGAGAGGUGAGUGGAAUUCCUAGUGUAGAGGUGAAAUUCGUAGAUAUUAGGAAGAACACCAGUGGCGAAGGCGGCUCACUGGCCCGGUACUGACGCUGAGGCGCGAAAGCGUGGGAGCAACAGG